rnacentral:tRNA from 1 species
GCCCCCGGUUUACACCGAGAAGAUAUCUGUUUAAUUCAGAUCAUUUUGA